rnacentral:lncRNA from 1 species
AAAAAAGAAAAAGAAAUGUUUUAUCCUAAAAGAAAAAAAAAAGGGAGUGAGGGAUUUCAUGUUUUGACUGUCUGCAUCACUUAGAGGAGUCCACUGGUCCAGAUAAAAAAAGAGUAUGCUGGUAUAUUACUGCAUCAAGGAUGAACAAAGAUGGCAAGCAAAGUAAGUUUCCAAAACCAUUUAUCCCUAACUUACUCUAUGAGGAUGAAAUUCUGAAUGAUUCAUCUUACAAUCAAGAAAUUGCCAUUGUUAGUUGGGUGUGGUGGCUACCCUCCCCAGUGGCUGGGACUAUAGAUGUAGACUAUAGAUGUAGUAUAGUCCCAGCCACUGGGGAGGGUGAGGUGGGAAGAUCGCUUGAGCCCAGGAGUUUGAGCUGCAGUGAGCUACGAUUGUGCCACUACACUCCAGCCUGGGCAAUAGAGCAAGACCCCAUCUAUAAAUUUUAAAAAAGAAAGAAAAGAAAUUGCCAUUGAUUGUAUAGUAACACAAGGGUUCUCAGACCAGCAACAUCAGCACCAACUGGGAACUUGUUAAAAAUGCAAAUUCACAAGCCCACCUGGACCUACUCAAUCGGAAGCCUGGGGGUGGAGCACAGCAGUCCAUGUUUUAACAAGCCCUCCAGAUGAUUAUGAUGCUCACUCAAGUUUGAAAAUCACUGAACGAAGUCAAGAAUACAGUGGGAAAAAAAUACCUAGCACUCUGAGAACUUUAUUAGAAUGUAUUUUUAAAAAAUUGAUCCAAAAUAUUAUGACAUAGUCUUCAUGUAAUGAAUUCUUUCAUAGGACAACUAUGAUACAUAGUAAUGGUCUACAAGGAAAUAAAACCUAUAAACUGAUCCACAGAGUAGGUUUACUGGUACCAAAGGUUAGCAUUCAUUCUUCACUGUAUUUUUAUGAUCCUUUUUCAUUAAUAUUGCACCUGAGUUGCUCUGGCAAAGAUUUCCUGCACCAUUAGGUAUACAAAAGUGGUAGUUAUUACCAAUUAUUUGCUGAAAUAAAAUUAGCAGUAAUCACCACCAAAACUUUUACUGUUUUUCUCCCAUUGUUAAUUACAAUAUCCUAAGAACCACAUAUAAUGUAUCGAGCCCUUGUAAAGCUAACGAAUAAACCAAUUACAUCUUUUGCAUGAAGGAGAAAUUCCAUGUUAAAACUCAAAAACUUAUUAUUUAUUUUUUGAGACAGAGUCUUAUUUUGUCACCAAGGCUGGAGUGCAGUGGCACAAUCUCAGCUUACUGCAACCUCUGCCUCCCAGGUUAGGGUGAUUCUCCUGCCUCUGCCUCCUGAAUAGCUGGGACUACAGGUGCAGGCCACCACACUUGCCUAAUUUUUUUUUUAUUAUUUUUACUAGAGACGGGUUUUCCCCAUGUUGGCCAGGCUGGCCUCAAACUCCUGACCUCAGGCCGGUCUCAAACUCCUGACCUCAGGUGAUCUAC